UCUGGUAACCGCACUCCUCCCUCCCUUUACAGAUCUGCUUCUACCCUAUUCCUUGUGGGCCACAAUCUUCUCGCCCUUGGUUGCAGGGUGAGCAUGUGAUCCAGGACUAGUCAACUGUUAUAUGGCUUCAGCAAAUUAUCCAAUGAUAAGUAUAUAAUCCAGGUCAGGCCAAUCAGAGCCUUUCCCUGGGACUUUUCAUACUGAAGAUGGAAGGGAAAUGUGUCUAAAAGGAUAGAAUCACCUCGAGUUCCUGGCCAUCAUGGAAGGGUCUACAAAAAGGAAGCUAGUACAUAAAAAACAGCCAAUUCCUUAUAUAAAAGAAAAAGGGAGAGAGGCAGUUAAAAUUGAAAUACUAUUUUAGCAGCUGGAUCCAGAUAACCCUCAGACCAGUUUUAUCUCAGAAUUUUUCUUUUUCUUUUUCUUUUUUUUCUUUCCACUUAAACUAGUUCAAAUGGUCUCUUAACACUUUUUAGAAAGUGGCCUUGGAAACCAAUAAGUCCCAUUUCUUAUUUUACGAUAUGCAAAUGGAAACACAGGGAGAUCAAGAAAUUGCUGUUAUCAGCUGGUUGGUACCAAAGGCCCAACAAGAACAUCUUGCUGAUUUAAAACAAUGGAAAAAGUCACUGAAGUAUGUAUAGUAUCUGUGUGCCGAGAUACACAGGAAAGCAUGGAUCGUGUGGAUGGAAGGAACCGGGAUCAUCUCAUCCAGCUGAGUAAUAAGUACGUUUGGUGCAGUGCCACACAGGAGGCCACCAGCAGAGCCCAGAGUAGUAACUGGGUUUCUUCACUCUUAGCCUCUCAAGUGAUGAGACCAAGGCAUGAUCUUAUCUCUUGAUUGUGGCCACCAGUAAAGAAAAGCAUAUCUCUAAUCUCAGAAGCACAAGGAGUUCAUACAGGAAACCAAGAUUAGAGCAUCAUGUUAUCAUUUUUCAAAAUUACUAUGUAGGAUCGGUGGAACACUGGACACUGAUGGAGUGGGCCCUGCAUCCUUCACUGCUUCCUCAUGGCAGGAUCUCCAGGAACGGGGCCCUCUUUGCCUGUCUCCUCCCUUUGUGGCGAAUAUGGGUGGGGGAUGGAUCUGGGCGUGCUCAGAUCAGCCCCUCCCUUGCUCUUCUCUCUUUGGAUCUUGCUCGCAAUCAGAGGGCUUUUUCUUCCUGUUUUUUGGAGGGUGGGAUCUGCGUGGAGCUGUUCAAUGCUGCCUGUGACUGGGUAUUAGUAUGCUUAGCUCCCUUGCUAACAAGUGCACCUUCAAAGCAAUAGUCAUUAUUUAGCAUUUAUCCGAAGAGGCUGGCCCCAGCUCUGGUGAAGGGCAGAGAAGGUGUGGGUGGCCUCAUAUGUUCUCAAUGUCACAAAAUGAUAGCAUUAAACAGACCCACUCCCUCAUGGAAGGCAAUGUGACGACCUUCUAUUGAUAUUGCAACAUGUGUCUCUGGCAGCAGGAUCUCAGUCCUUACGUAAGGGAUACGGGAUGACUUCCUCCACUUCAUGUAUAUGCUCUCCCUAAGCAGAUCUGGCAGAUGCAAAUUUAUCCGUAUCUUUUCAUUACCAAUGAAGUUUUAGUAUCCACAUCCCGUCUUUGUAACCCUUUUUAUUUCAGCUGAUCUAAAUAAUUAGUUCAGAUUUACCCUGACAAAUGUCUUUUACCUUAUAUUUUUAGUUUCUUACCUUAUAACAAAAUACUACCAUCAAGUUUUGAUUAUGAAAAUGGCUGAAGGCAAGGGACCAUAUGAGAGAGUGCAAUCAACAACAUAGUCUUUUUGCCCAACAGAAUUUGACAUUUUUGGCUUAGAGAAUUAAAGUACAAUGACUGUUCCUGAAAAUCAGCACAGUAGUCAUGAUAAAACUUUUUUCUUGGCUGGGCACAGUGUUGCAUGCCUGUAAUCUCAGCACUUUGGGAGGCUGAG